rnacentral:rRNA from 1 species
CCUACGGGAGGCAGCAGUGAGGAAUAUUGGUCAAUGGACGAGAGUCUGAACCAGCCAAGUAGCGUGAAGGAUGACUGCCCUAUGGGUUGUAAACUUCUUUUAUAAAGGAAUAAAACGAGGCACGUGUGCCUUUUUGCAUGUACUUUAUGAAUAAGGAUCGGCUAACUCCGUGCCAGCAGCCGCGGUAAUACGGAGGAUCCGAGCGUUAUCCGGAUUUAUUGGGUUUAAAGGGAGCGUAGAUGGGUUGUUAAGUCAGUUGUGAAAGUUUGCGGCUCAACCGUAAAAUUGCAAUUGAUACUCGCAGUCGUGAGUACAGUUGAGGUAGGCGGAAUUCGUGGUGUAGCGGUGAAAUGCUUAGAUAUCACGAAGAACCCCGAUUGCGAAGGCAGCUUACUAAACUGUGACUGACAUUGAUGCUCGAAAGUGUGGGUAUCAAACAGGAUUAGAUACCCCUGUAGUC